AGUGAACGCUGGCGGUAGGCCUAACACAUGCAAGUCGAACGGCAGCACAGUAAGAGCUUGCUCUUACGGGUGGCGAGUGGCGGACGGGUGAGGAAUACAUCGGAAUCUACUUUUUCGUGGGGGAUAACGUAGGGAAACUUACGCUAAUACCGCAUACGACCUACGGGUGAAAGCAGGGGAUCUUCGGACCUUGCGCGAUUGAAUGAGCCGAUGUCGGAUUAGCUAGUUGGCGGGGUAAAGGCCCACCAAGGCGACGAUCCGUAGCUGGUCUGAGAGGAUGGUCGGCGACACUGGAAGUGAGACACGGUCCAGAGUCCUACGGGAGGCAGCAGUGGGGAAUAGUGGACAAUGGGCGCAAGCCUGAUCCAGCCAUACCGCGUGGGUGAAGAAGGCCUUCGGGUUGUAAAGCCCUUUUGUUGGGAAAGAAAAGCAGCAGGUUAAUACCCCGCUGUUCUGACGGUACCCAAAGAAUAAGCACCGGCUAACUUCGUG
rnacentral:rRNA from 1 species